GAUGAACGCUAGCUACAGGCUUAACACAUGCAAGUCGAGGGACCGGCGCACGGGUGAGUAACACGUAUCCAACCUGCCCUUUACUCGGGGAUAGCCUUUCGAAAGCAAGAUUAAUACCCGAUAUAAAGGAUGGGGAUGCGUUCCAUUAGGUUGUUGGUGAGGUAACGGCCGACCAAGCCUUCGAUGGGUAGGGGUUCUGAGAGGAAGGUCCCCCACAUUGGAACUGAGCAACGGUCCAAACGCCUACGGGAGGCAGGAGUGAGGAAUAUUGGUCAAUGGGCGUUAGCCUGAACCAGCCAAGGAGCGUGAAGGAUGAAGGCGUAUGUGUCGUAAACUUCUUUUAUAUAAGAAUAUGUAUUAUAUGAAUAAGGAUCGGCUAACUCCGUGCCAGCAGCCGCGGUAAUAC
rnacentral:rRNA from 1 species